GGGGUACUCUCGUUUUUUUUUCUUUUUCGUAAAAGAAAGUAUGAGAUAUGUCGGUGAUAAGAUCGGCAAAAACUGUCUCCACGAGAUGAACAACAAUAAGGAAAUGUCACAUCACCCUCCUCGAGUUCGUAUUACCUCAGUAAAAUCGGCAACACUGACUCACAGCAACCAGUUCGAUCCAGCGCUCCAAACGGCUAGAGCUUUUACUGUUAUGUUGUUCUAGUUUCCUUUUACGAAACCUUUUAAAAAAGCACAAGAAUGUAAAGAUAGCCCUCGAAACCUGUCUCAAUCCAACAAGACGACCGUGCCAGAUUCAACCCCAUCAGAGGAUCGCUCUAACCCCAGGAGGUCCAGUGCAGUGUCCAAGGGCAAAAACACAGGAAGAUUCCUCCCUUGCCAUUUCUCCAAAGGGAGCCUAGGGCAAUGUUCGAAUGAUGACGGCAUUUGCUCAUUUCACACUAAGUUUGCCAUAAGAGAUUUGGGGGUUGAGAGAGGCGGAUCUUUUCCACUCCAUAAAAUUAAACUCAACAAGCGGGUCGAAAUCAAUUUCAUUCCACUUUGAACCCUGGGAGGCAUUCAAGGUGUUCGGAGUGAAUUCGUCUUUUUACCUUUUCUUUAGCAACCAUAAGGAGCUGCCAUUAAUGUCAGCGAAUGACAUGAGUCAUAUUUGUUCGGCAAUUUCGUGGACGACUAGCAAGGGAACAGUUUUCAGACAAGGAAGACGACAGAAGUCUGGGCUUUGGCCCAACAAACAGCUUUAUAACACCUUCCAGACCAAACAAGGCCAAUUUAGUUCAUUGCUCCUUUUCAUGGGGGAAGGGAAUACUCAUGCGCUUUAAGCCUCUACGGUCAAUGAAGCCGGAUUUUUUCGGGGCGAACUACGAAGUACGAUACAGGGCGAUUCACAACUCUGGACACUUCAAAAAUUCAUACAAUGGAAAUGUUAGGUCAAAAUAUGUGACUGCAUUCGAAUUGUUGUCAAGGCGAGGAAACAGUUUAUAAUAGCAAGUCACCAGAAGCACACCUGCUCAACAAAUUCAUUAAUGGCCAAUUAAAUAUUACACAUUUACCGCGACGUAAGUCAAAUUGUGACCUUUUUAGAAAAUAAGAAAGUCAUGCUAAAUGACAUAUUUUCCACACGACAUGAGUACUACUUUAUGGCAUUGUCUAAAGCACCCUGUAAAUAAAAAAAAAAUCCCAAUCCCGACGUCUAGAAAAACACCUAAGUCAAGGAAGGUGGAUGAGCAACGAACGGAGAGUGCUCGCUGCUCGUGCCAGCCAAGAAUGAGCGAAGACUCAGAACUGUUACCUUAGACUUCAAUUCCUGGGUCUCUCUCUACUCGAAAACACUGCCCCUGGAUUGAGAACAUUGGGGUGGCGAUAGGCCGACGACUACCAAACCAAGAUGAUUACCUUGUCGGCCCGACUCUCGGGGCUGGAAUUAUACGGCUUGAAGGCGACGUGAUUUUCGUUCUUGAUCAAAUGUUCGGUAUUGUACAAUUGCGUCUGUUGGGCAUUGGGGGACAUGCUGCCCUCGGGAGAUCCAGGACCUUCAUCGUGUCGAUGAGAAGGCACGACUCGGGCCACCCGGACGUCUUCAAUCACAGCAUUGUUCCAAUGAGAUUCGGCCAAGAGUCUUUGGGAAUUCUGGUGAGCUGUGUUGGCGUGCAGCAAAGAUUGGUAGGAGGAGUUCAUCAUGUUACAAUACAUGGAUGAAUUGUCCAAAAGAGCCAUCUUCAGCACCUGUUCCUCAAGCUCAACUCAAGUUGAUGACAAGUGGAAGUGAGCCGCCGGAUCCACGAGGGGGUUGUAAGAAAACGUGACUUGCAAGACCAAAUCGCAAAACCGCACAAGUUCAAAAAAGGAAUCACACCAAGGACAUGACACCGGUUGCCUCUGGGGUCGGGGAGUGAAUACCAAAUGGUUCACUUUACGGAAUCAACUCACGUCCCUCUGUCUCUCUGUCAGUCUCUUUCCCUUUCUCUCCGAGGGUGGCGACUCUCAGGGGGGACUUUUCGCACCCUCCUCAAGUUUUACCCACGGGCUGAGAAAAAAUUCCCGAAUCACACCGCACGGACUGGGAGUGGUGCUCUAUUGGCGAGUACGGUAAGAGGAAUGAGACUGACGAGUGAGCGACAUGAAAGUUUUUGGCUUGAAGGACAGAGCUCACCAUGCGCUCGCCGGCGUUUCUCACAUUCCGCAGGGACACUCCGAAGGGACACUUGGAGGUUCAAGCGGUGAUCCCUCGCCAUUUGCAACACGCUCUCCCCCCAUGAGACCUGAUCAAACUCCUCUUCAAAUAUGAUAGUAAUUCGGGUCACGAUCUACGAUUAUUAAUUUCAUCAAGUUAUCAAUGGGUGGAUGGGCAUCAAGCAUAAGUUGGGCGAUAGAUGUGACCAACGAUAAGGAACCGUUUGCCACGAUGCAGAUGCUCCCCAUUUUCAAUCUCGGGCAUACUUUUUGCAAUAUGCAGAUCGAUCUUUGGAAAAAUUUGACGUAUAAAAACUUGUUUGAAUAUGUGAAACCGUUAUGGAUUGAUCUCCCAUUCACAUUUCACAAUCCUCCAAAGGUUCCCGAAUUCAAAUCAGUUCACCGAUUUUUGGGCUCGAAAAAAAAGGUUCCUUCAACUGCUCCUCCCGGAGUUUGAGUUUGAGAGCAAAAAACGUGUUCGAUAUUCAAUCUCUUUACGUCUACGUUCGUCCAUAUGCAAUCGGUAGCUUUUUCUCAUGGAAUACUAAGUAUGCUCAUUUGAAUGUGGCUCUAUAACUUUUGCCGAGUACGAUUCCCAUUCUCCCCCAAGAGCGCCUGCCAUCGCUACCGCCACCAGCACCUCCAUCAUGUGCAUGUAUUAUCGCAUUAUCGGCUUGGGUUCUCGAAUUGAAGUAUUCAAAUAAUGCCAUUCUCCGUGUGAUUGGAAUCGCCCGGCGCUUCCUUUGUCAACACCCCUUUCGCCUCCGGGGAAAUCCAAGAACCACGACGACAUUUCUGAACCACCGAAGGAGCUCUCAAAUGGCUUUCUUUCUAGUCGUUAUUGGAGGUCCGUUUGCCUCAUUGGGAAAGGGUUUUCAUGAAGCGGGUGGUGUUCACACGUUCAAAGUGCAGAUGGAACAAAGUGGCUUAAUGAAAACUCCGGCUUUAUUUUAACGCUUCCAUGCAAGGAGUAAGCCAAUUAAUCUCUUGCAUAUCAUUAUCCAUGCCAGUAACAUGUUCUCAUGACUCACCCAAAAUCGCCAGCUUAUCACUCUAAACUCAACAGCUCUUUUCUUGAUUGGAUAAUGGAUUCAUCAAGGGUUUUCGAGGAAAAAAGCCCGGAAAAGUGGAAAGCAGCUUUUUUUCCUUUCCCAGGCUAUAAAAUGAUGUGAGUGUUAAUCCCCUGGCCAUCUGAAUCUCUCCGAAUCAAAUCAAUGAUUCAAUAUCAAUCCCCAUUUUCUGGGAUUGCAUCCCAAAAUACAGUGAGAAAAGCCUGCGUGAUCUGGGCGUGCAGAGGCAGAUGAAUCCGGACCAAGCAUUUUCACAAUCACGGAAAUCCGAGAAAUUCUCCCUUCUUUUGUUCGGCGAGCUUUUGGCUUUUUCGCCCUGAAUGAGCGGGCAUAAAAGACACCCUCGACGCUGUAAACGCCUCCAUCAGCCCAUUCAACUCUCUCUCUCGAUAGGUCGUCAUUGUGGCGGGCAUCCAUUCCAAUGGAUGGAAGCACCAGAAUGGUUCCCCUCGAUUCCCUCGAGUUUUUCAAACUCGAGGAGCGACAGGUGGUUGUUGGUGUUGUUGGUGUUGUUGCUCUUGUUGUAGUGGUAGUUGUUGGUGAUACUUGGAGUUUUGUCGUAUACCCGGUUACCGUAUACGGAGCGGAGAGAGGGCAUGCAUGCAUAUGUACAUGCAUAUUAAGGAUAAUCAGACAAACCCAAAAAUCAGUGGCACUCCUGAUGGGAACUUUUUUCCUGCUUUGCAUUCGGGAUGGGAUGAUGGGGUGAAUUGAGCUCUCCCUGAAUAUUUAUUAGCGUCUCUUUUGGUUUCGAAACGCGUUGGUGGUGGGGUUUGUACUACUAUGUACUACAAUCCAGAGAUUCCAGAAUAUGUGGAGGCAAAUAUA